rnacentral:lncRNA from 1 species
AUUUCCCACUUCUAUUGAGAAAUUUUAAGCUAUUCAUUUAGAAAGUAGACUACGAAUAGUGUUAUGUGAUGAAGGGUCAUGUUGUUAUUGUUCAUCCAAUAUUGGCUUUAUUUCCUAACACUGUUUUUUCAUCUCAUCUAGGCCAUGGACUUUCUAGCCAGCAUACCUGAAUGCACUGUUUGCUCAGUCAGCCCUGACUUUGCACUUUCUGCUUCCCCAAAGGCAAUGCCUGCCUACUCUCUAUUUUCAUCUCCACACAGGCUCAGAUGUUAUCUCUAUGAACACUCCAUGUAUGACUAUUUGAAGUGUUCCACCAUCGAUGAGCAUUUUCUUCAUUGGAUUUUCCAAAAACGAUAAUCAAAGCACAAUUUUCACCUUCUCUGCCAUAAACUAUGCUAUGCCAAAUUCCGGAAAGGAAGAAUUAAGGGAAUUAUUUAUUGUCCAAGUGAUUAAUAGAAUUGAGCAGUAACUUCCUCUGGUCAACGUCAUUUCACUCAGGAAAGCCCAUAGGUGUUAGAUUCUGGAGAUGUAUCAGCAUUUGCAUACUGCUUUUAAUGACUUCAAGCUACUAUAACAAAACAUCUUAGACUGAGUCAUUUACAAACAACAGAAAUGUAUUGUUUGGGAUUCUGGAGCUCGAGAAUUCUCAGAUCAAGGCAACAGCAGAUCUGGUGUCUGUCUGGUGUUCUGCUUUGGCAGUAGCACUUUGUCGUUGCAUCGUCACAUGAUGGAAACAGGAAGGGAGUGUGCUACAGCCUUUUCCCUUUCUUGAAGAUGGCACCAUCCUGACUUAAUCACUUCCCACAGACCUACCUCUGAAUAUUGUCAUAUUAGGGAUUAUGCUCCAAUAAAUGAAUGGAAGAGGUAGACCGACCUUCAUUCCAUAGCAAUAUCUACAAAGUUAAUUUCUAGUGAGCAACACACUAUACAAUUUCCUAAUUAAACAAGACACAGUUGUAUUAGGAAAAUCCUUUAAAUUAAGGGGGAAAAAGAACAUUAGACUUCUGUUCAAAGGCUGGGGACUCAUGCAAUAUCACUGAAGGCUAGAGCAAUGGGUACAAAAGAACACUGGGUAUUGAAUAAAAGGCCUGGUUUAGGCAUCAUGACCAUCUCGGGCUUAUGAAUUUGACUGUUUUCUGCAAGUCUUUGUUCUUUAUCAUCUAAAUAAUAGAUGUAAUAGGCGAGAAAGGUAUUUGCUCUUCUCCAACUCACUGUUGAAAGGAUAAGCAUUCAAAAGCAUUUUAAAAUAGAUAAAAACUUUGUACAGUCCUUAGACCUUGAGAACUACAUUUGUGAGCCAUUGUUUUUGUAGCUAUCUGACUGACAUUUACUUUUGUUAUGACAAAAUUAGUUGUCUCACUUCAUUUGUUUUUUCAACAUACUGCAGAUUUUUCCUCUUUCAUUAUUGAGAAAUUGCUGUUCAGGUACCUGUCUCUUUAUGUGUAAUUAUUUAUUUAUCUCUAUUGCAUUUGACCAAC